rnacentral:lncRNA from 1 species
GGCGAAUAAAUACAAGUGAUCGUGGGGCAUUCCCCGAUUAAAUGAAUACAUUUCCAAAUACAAGAACUAAAACCAAACCGUUCAACUCAAAUUCCACAUUCAAACAAUCAACAAGAAAACUUAUUCCUAAAUUUUUGCCUACCCGAACCAACAUUCGCCUAUCCAUUUCAACAUAUCAUAAUUUUAUCACAUUCCAACAAUAUUCAUGCUCAUUACUAAUUAAACAAAACAACAAUAAACCAAAGCCAAUCUAAAUUCAACUUUUUUAUCAAUUUCUCAAUUUCAUCCCUCAAAGCCAUUUUUAACCACAUUAUUAAACCAAUUCGACUAUCAAAUCACUUUUCAAAAUCCGAAACCAACACACAUACCCCAACGAAGAUUCAAACAUUUAAGCAUACCAAUCAUUCAUAUCCACAACAACAAUUAACAUUUUGCUCGAAAUAUUCAAAACCGCACCACAAAAUCACGAUAUUAACCAACUUCGAUAUAAUAAAAAAGUAGAGUUGAGAGAUGGACCUUUGA